GAUGAACGCUAGCGACAGGCCUAACACAUGCAAGUCGAGGGGCAGCACAUGAGUAGCAAUACGAUGGUGGCGACCGGCGCACGGGUGAGUAUCGCGUAUGCAACCUACCUUCCACAGGGGGAUAGCCUUCCGAAAGGGAGAUUAAUACCGCAUAAAACAGGGGCCCCGCAUGGGGAUAUUUGUUAAAGAUUUAUCGGUGGGAGAUGGGCAUGCGUUCCAUUAGCUAGUUGGCGGGGUAAUGGCCCACCAAGGCAUCGAUGGAUAGGGGAACUGAGAGGUUUAUCCCCCACACUGGAACUGAGACACGGUCCAGUCUCCUACGGGAGGCAGCAGUGAGGAAUAUUGGUCAAUGGGCGGGAGCCUGAACCAGCCAAGUCGCGUGAAGGAAGACGGUUCUAUGGAUUGUAAACUUCUUUUGCACUGGGGUAAAACGGGGGACGUGUCCCCCCUUGCAAGUACAGUGCGAAUAAGCAUCGGCUAACUCCGUGCCAGCAGCCGCGGUAA
rnacentral:rRNA from 1 species